UACGAAGGGGGCUAGCGUUACUCGGAAUCACUGGGCGUAAAGCGCACGUAGGCGGACUCGCAGGUCACUUGUGAAAUACCUGGGCUCAACCCGGGAACUGCAGUUGAAACCGCUUGUCUUGAAUACCUGAGAGGGUGGGGGAAUACCUGGUGGAGAAGUGAAAUUCGUAGAGAUCAGGUGGAACACCGGAGGCGAAGGCGCCUGCCUGGCAGUGUAUUGACGCUGAGGUGCGAAAGUGCGGGGAGCAAACAGG
rnacentral:rRNA from 1 species